CCCUUAGAUGUCCUGGGUUGCACGCGCGCUACACUGAUGUGUCCAGUAAGCACCUAACCUCUUCCGAAAGGAACGGGUAACCUUUGCAAAGCACAUCGUGAUGGGGAUAGAUUAUUGCAAUUAUUAGUCUUGAACGAGGAAUUCCUAGUAAGCACAAGUCAUCAGCUUGUGUUGAUUACGUCCCUGCCCUUUGUACACACCGCCCGUCGCUCCUACCGAUUGAAUGUUCCGGUGAGCUCUUCGGACUGCGCGGUCUGCAGUUUCUGCGUUCCGUGCGGAAAGUUGCGCAAACCUUAACAUUUAGAGGAAGGAGAAGUCGUAACA
rnacentral:rRNA from 1 species